AAACCAACAGGGAUUGCCUUAGUAACGGCGAGUGAAGCGGCAAAAGCUCAAAUUUGAAAUCUGGCUCCUUUGGAGUCCGAGUUGUAAUUUGUAGAGGAUGUUUCGGGCACCGCUCCGGUUUAAAUUUCUUGGAACAGAAUGUCAGAGAGGGUGAGAAUCCCGUCUUGAACCGGUGGUAGGGUCCAUGUGAAACCCCUUCGACGAGUCGAGUUGUUUGGGAAUGCAGCUCUAAAUGGGUGGUAAAUUUCAUCUAAAGCUAAAUAUUGGCCAGAGACCGAUAGCGCACAAGUAGAGUGAUCGAAAGAUGAAAAGCACUUUGAAAAGAGAGUUAAACAGUAUGUGAAAUUGUUGAAAGGGAAGCGCUUGCAAUCAGACUUGAGUGUGGUGGUUCCCCUGUCCUUUUGGUCAGGUUACUCCAUCAUAUCCAGGCCAGCAUCAGUUUCGGUGGUGGGUUAAAGGCCUCGGGAAUGUAUCUACCCUUCGGGGUCGACUUAUAGCCCGGGGUGUCAUGCCGCCUACUGGGACUGAGGUACGCGCAUCUGCUCGGAUGCUGGCGUAAUGGUUGUAAGCGAC
rnacentral:rRNA from 1 species